rnacentral:rRNA from 1 species
GAUGAACGCUGGCGGCGUGCCUAAUACAUGCAAGUCGAGCGAACAGACGAGGAGCUUGCUCCUCUGACGUUAGCGGCGGACGGGUGAGUAACACGUGGAUAACCUACCUAUAAGACUGGGAUAACUUCGGGAAACCGGAGCUAAUACCGGAUAAUAUAUUGAACCGCAUGGUUCAAUAGUGAAAGACGGUUUUGCUGUCACUUAUAGAUGGAUCCGCGCCGCAUUAGCUAGUUGGUAAGGUAACGGCUUACCAAGGCAACGAUGCGUAGCCGACCUGAGAGGGUGAUCGGCCACACUGGAACUGAGGCACGGUCCAGACUCCUACGGGAGGCAGCAGUAGGGAAUCUUCCGCAAAGGGCGAAAGCUUGACGGAGCAACGCCGCGUGAGUGAUGAAGGUCUUCGGAUCGUAAAACUCUGUUAUUAGGGAAGAACAAAUGUGUAAGUAACUAUGCACGUCUUGACGGUACCUAAUCAGAAAGCCACGGCUAACUACGUG